rnacentral:lncRNA from 1 species
AGGUCACAAAGACCCCACUGAUAAAAUGAGAUGUGGUAAAGAAGCCGGCUAAAACCCACCAAAAAGAAAAUGGUAACGAAAGUGACCUCUGGACAUCCUCACUGCUCAUUAUACACUGAUUAUAAUGCAUUAGCAUGCUAAAAGAAACUCCCACCAGUACUAAACAAUUUAAAGGCUGGGUGCAGUGGCUCAUGCCUAUAAUUCCAGCGCUAUAAUUCCAACAACAGCAACAAAAUUUAAAAUUUAAAUAGCCUAUGACCCAGUAAUUCCACGUUGGUGAAUAUCAACCCAAAAGAAAUAAAGGUUCUAGCACUUUAACAUGUACAUGUAUACAAGUGCCUCCCAGGUUCAAGCGAUUCUCCUGCCUCNNNNNNNNNNCUGCCUCCCAGGUUCAAGCAAUUCUCCUGCCUCAGCCUCCUGAGUAGCUGGGAUUACAGGUGUGUGCCAUCACGCUUGGCUAAUUUUUGUAUUUCUAGUAGA